rnacentral:rRNA from 1 species
CUUUACGGCCAUGCCUCCCUGAACGUGCCCGAUCUCGUCUAAUCUCAGAAGCUAAGCAGGGUCAGGCCUGGUUAGUACUUGGAUAGGAGACCACCUAGGAAGACCAGGUGCUGUAGGCG